rnacentral:rRNA from 1 species
GAUGAACGCUGGCGGCGUGCCUAAUACAUGCAAGUCGAGCGAACAGGCGAGGCGCUUGCGCCUCUGACGUUAGCGGCGGACGGGUGAGUAACACGUGUAUAACCUACCUAUCAGACUGGGAUAACUUCGGGAAACCGGAUCUAAUACCGGAUAAUAUAUUGAACCGCAUGGUUCAAUGGUGAAUGACGGUUUUGCUGGCUCGUAUAGAUGGAUCCGCGCCGCAUUAGCUAGUUGGUAAGGUAACGGCUUACCAAGGCAACGAUGCGUAGCCGACCUGAGAGGGUGAUCGGCCACACUGGAACUGAGACACGGUCCAGACUCCUACGGGAGGCAGCAGUAGGGAAUCUUCCGCAAUGGGCGAAAGCAUGACGGAGCAACGCCGCGUGAGUGAUGAAGGUCUUCGGAUCGUAAAACUCUGCUAUUAGGGAAGAACAAAUGUGUAAGUAAAUAUGCACGUCUUGACGGUAACUAAUAAGAAAGCAACGGCUAACUACGUG